rnacentral:lncRNA from 1 species
GGAAAUUCAGUAACUUUUUACAUUUGAAAAGUAAAAGCAAUCAUGGAAGAAGCUGCUAGAAGUAGCUUUUGUGCUAUGAAAAGUUACUUUAAAAUUAAUAAAAAUAGAUCCAAAAAUUAAAUAAAUACAAAAGAGUGGGUGUAAUAAUAGAUCUAAGCCUAACCUAAGGUUUGGAAAAUAUCGCUAUUGGAUAUUAUAAGCUGAAAUAUCAGCUGGCAGAUAUAUACAACAAAAUGGCUACUAUAAGAUAUUAAGAUCGCUCACUAUUAAUUGAAUGGAGACAUUGGAUCAGAGUUCAGACGGAUGUCAAUGUCCAUUACUACAAUUCUACAAACGGUGACCAUUUUUUCCCAAUAUAUCUCUAUUGAGUAUUGACGGUCAUGAGAUUAACACUCCAGAUUUUUUGAGAUCACAUUAAAUGAAUCGGUUUCUUUGAAUAAAUCCUUUUUAUACGCAUGGGUCGAACUUUGAACUAUAUACUUAAGAAAUAAGAAGUCAAACUAUCUAUACCAAAAAAAUUGAAUAACUAUAACAAUUUUUAGAUUAAAAAUACUU